rnacentral:rRNA from 1 species
GAUUAUUGGGCGUAAGCGCGCGCAGGUGGUUUCUUAAGUCUGAUGUGAAAGCCCACGGCUCAACCGUGGAGGGUCAUUGGAAACUGGGAGACUUGAGUGCAGAAGAGGAAAGUGGAAUUCCAUGUGUAGCGGUGAAAUGCGUAGAGAUAUGGAGGAACACCAGUGGCGAAGGCGACUUUCUGGUCUGUAACUGACACUGAGGCGCGAAAGCGUGGGGAGCAAACAGGAUUAGAUACCCUGGUAGUCCACGCCGUAAACGAUGAGUGCUAAGUGUUAGAGGGUUUCCGCCCUUUAGUGCUGAAGUUAACGCAUUAAGCACUCCGCCUGGGGAGUACGGCCGCAAGGCUGAAACUCAAAGGAAUUGACGGGGGCCCGCACAAGCGGUGGAGCAUGUGGUUUAUUU